rnacentral:rRNA from 1 species
CCCCAGACUCCUACGGGAGGCAGCAGUGGGGAAUAUUGCACAAUGGGGGAAACCCUGAUGCAGCGACGCCGCGUGAGCGAUGAAGUAUUUCGGUAUGUAAAGCUCUAUCAGCAGGGAAGAAGAUGACGGUACCUGACUAAGAAGCCCUGGCUAACUACGUGCCAGCAGCCGCGGUAAUACGUAGUGGGCAAGCGUUAUCCGGAUUUACUGGGUGUAAAGGGAGCGUAGACGGCGAUGCAAGCCAGAUGUGAAAGCCCGGGGCUCAACCCCGGGACUGCAUUUGGAACUGUGUGGCUGGAGUGUCGGAGAGGCAGGCGGAAUUCCUAGUGUAGCGGUGAAAUGCGUAGAUAUUAGGAGGAACACCAGUGGCGAAGGCGGCCUGCUGGACGAUGACUGACGUUGAGGCUCGAAAGCGUGGGGAGCAAACAGGAUUAGAUCCCCCGGUA